rnacentral:misc_RNA from 1 species
UGAAGAGCGAAGGUUUUAUAAUGCAGAUGCUUUCAUGCUAUAAGAUGAUGUGUCUUGCACAUUGAAGAGGAUUGUACCAGUGAAGCGUCUAUCUCUAUAGGCCUCCACAAUACUCUAAUCUAGUUUCCAAUGCUACUUAACAUUCAUAGAGCAUGGAAGGUAAUCUUGGGGCUGAAAGCAACCUCCAAAGGUGUUUGCUUUAAGGUUUGUCAAUCCAGGACUCUCACUCAUAUCAACUGGACUAUCAGACACAGUCCGCAAUUCAAACCCAUGAAGCAGUCGAGCCAGUGUCAGGAUCAGAACCUGGAGUGCGAAUGACACUCCUGGACACAUUCUUCUACCAGAUCCAAAUGGUAAGUAUUCAAAAUCCUGACCCCUGAAAUCCAAAGUUACAUGCUCAUUCAGGAACCUCUCAGGCUGAAAUUCCAAAGGGUUAGUUCAAAUGCUAGGGUCACGGUGUAACUUCCAAAGGUUAACGAAAAGUCGUGUGCCUGCCGGGAUGUGGAAGCCGGCUAUCAUGCAAUCCUCCAUGGCUUCCCUUUGUACUGAGAGUGGAGUGGCAGGGUAUAAUCUCAAUGUUUCCUUGACAAUAGCUUGCAAGUAUACCAGGUUCUUUACAUCUGACUCCUCCACUCGUUGGUGCUUUCCUACUUGGAUGUCAAGCUCAUCUUGAGCCUUUUUAAGAACAAUGCGGUUGUUUAGUAGCAAAGAUAGUGCCCAUGUAAGAGUGACCACAUUGGUAUCAUUGCCACCCAAAAUAAGACUGAAGCAAGUGCCCUUGAUGAUAUUAUCAAUUUCAUUAGCAGAUAUCUUGCCAUCAUCCAUGACAGAAAGCAUGACAUGGAUGAAAUCUUGCUCCUCCUCCUUGAUGCCUCCUUUGAGCCUCUGUUCUCUAUGCUCCUUUACCCACCUGCCUAACACUUCAUCCAUCUCCUUUGCUGUCCUCUUCAUAUCACCAACAUAUCCCUUUACCAAAUCCAACCAACCAAGAAAUGGAACGGUGUCAGAAGCCAAGAACAACCCAGUUAGAUAGAAGAAAUCCUUUAAAGCCUUACAGAAUUGCCUUGACUCCUUAUCUUUGAUUCCAUUGCUACCACCAGAGUAUCGCUUCCCAGAAACCUUUUUCGCUAUUAUGUUCACAGCUAAGUCCUCAAAUCUUUCCUUCAUUUCCACUACAGCACGUCCACCAUUCUUUACUGAUUCCUGAUAUAAGUUUUUGAUAAAGAAGUUAGUUUCUGUGUCCCUGACAUGCCUGAGCAACUGAAGCCGGCGGUUCGAGAGGAGUUCAACCACGGCUAGCUUCCUCAUAUCACGCCAGUAUUGCCCAUACGGUGCAAAGCCGAG